CUCUCUGUGGCUGAGUGGUCAAAGCAUUGGUUUACUGCUCAAGAGGUCAUGGGUUCAAUUCCUGCCUUACCAG